rnacentral:sRNA from 1 species
GCUGGGCAUGUGGUGCAUGCCUGUAAUCCCAGUGGCUCUGGAGGCUGAGGCAGGAGAAUUGUGAGUUCAAGGCCAGCCUCAGCAACUUAGUGAGGCCCUGAGCAACUUAGCAAGACCCUUUCUCUA